AAAGCAUUCUCACUUCCACAAGCAACCCUAGUUAAAUGCAUUACUCAAAGAAUGUGCCUAUGCAUGAUGCCCUGUUGUGAGAACAAAAACAUUAACUGACAAGUCCCAUUAGUCAUUGGCUAACUCUAGGAGUAAGGGUACGCCAUUCACAAACCCUUUGCAAGAUCCAAUCCUGCACUAAUCAUGCUUGCAAACUCCAUCCUUGCCCAGUCUUUAAAAAUUAGUACAGUGGCCAUUUCUCAUCUGUGCAGUUUAAUUGAUUCUCAAGAAGGUUAAUUUUCAAUAGAAGUAAUAAUUAGAUGGUAUUUUCAUGGAAGAAUGUAGCCACUCGGUGCUAUAUAGCUAAAUGAUUAAUACAGAUUGCAUCAUAAAGCCUAAUGAAAAUGAAGAAAUGGAAAACCUUCAUAGAAAAUUGCUGCCUCUUCGCUUUUAACUGCUUUCCUCAGAAUGUGAUUAUCCUCCAAAAAUUUUGAAACAAAAUCAUACCUUAGAAUUUCAUCUUAGGCUCCACUGAGAUCAGGAGCCAACCGUGGCUGUGAUAUUUACAUCAGAAAUUCACCAAAAAGGGGAAAAGGAGUAUAUAUCUAUAGUCACAUAUCUCCUGUAGUAGAAUCAGUGAAGAAUGAUACCUUUUCCAUCUCUCCUUUAAAUGAAGUUUCAUUCAUUUCCACCAUCUUGUCAAGAGGACCUAGAGCAUCUCCAAAAAGAGUAGAGAAUAUCUGCCUAUGGCAUUCA
rnacentral:misc_RNA from 1 species